CUUAAAGACUGUUCUCAGUUCGGACUGCAGUCUGCAACUCGACUGCACGAAGCUGGAAUCGCUAGUAAUCGCGGAUCAGCACGCCGCGGUGAAUACGUUCCCGGGCCUUGUACACACCGCCCGUCACACCAUGGAAGUCUGCAAUGCCCGAAGCCGGUGGCCUAACCACUUAUGUGGAAGGAGCCGUCUAAGGCAGGGCAGAUGACUGGGGUGAAGUCGUAACAAGGUAUC
rnacentral:rRNA from 1 species